UACGGAGGGAGCUAGCGUUGUUCGGAAUUACUGGGCGUAAAGCGCACGUAGGCGGCUUUUUAAGUCAGGGGUGAAAUCCCGGGGCUCAACCCCGGAACUGCCCUUGAAACUGGAAAGCUAGAAUCUUGGAGAGGCGAGUGGAAUUCCGAGUGUAGAGGUGAAAUUCGUAGAUAUUCGGAAGAACACCAGUGGCGAAGGCGACUCACUGGACACAUAUUGACGCUGAGGUGCGAAAGCGUGGGGAGCGAACAGG
rnacentral:rRNA from 1 species